CUAAGAGACACUAUAAAGUUCAACCUGAACACAAGUUUAACCUGAACACAGUUCAACAAGCUGAAGAAUGAAGACACUGCUGCUGUCUCUGCUCUGUCUGUGUGUGUGGAGUCAGUCCACAGAAGCUUUAACUGAUCAGCAGGUGAUUUUAGGACACAAUGUGACUUUAGCCUGCGAGUACAGGUUAAAAGGUGUUAUCUGGUUUGUAAUGAAACUACCAGCUCGUCCAGAGAUGAUUCUGCGAACCUUUGGAUCAGAAAAAAAGACUGAAUAUUACGAUGAAAAAUUCCGUGAGAAAUAUUCAGAAGGAGACAGAAGCCGUUUAGUAAUCGAUAAUGUCAGCGUUGAUGAUUUAGGACAUUAUUACUGUAUAAAACCAGGCUUUUCUCUACAGAUCAGUGAUGGGAUCAGACUGCACACCGCUGAAGUCUGACAUGAACUUCAGAGAGCAUAACAGAGGAAUAACAUCCAUUCAGACCAGCAGCACUGACAGAUCCUGAAUAUCUACAAGUUCAGCCAAACUCUGUGAACAAAACCACUUUUUACUGAGAAAUUGUGUUUGCUUCAAAUGAGCAGAAUUGUGUGAUAACAUAUUUUGUUUCAAGGACUUUAACAUUUAAAUGUUUUAAUAAAAAUGACUGAAAUCUGUCUGAAAUUAAAAUGCCAUGUAAUAUUUCAAAAAGUUUUCUUGUGCA